ACUACAAUAGUUGAUGCGUAUAAUCGCUUUGAUACGGAAAGCAAGUCUCUACCCUGAACCGUAAAUUCAGGACUACGCAAAGAAAAAAU
rnacentral:ncRNA from 1 species